AUCCGGUUGACGAGUCUUAAAUAGGAUGAAACGCGCGUCCUGGAU
rnacentral:hammerhead_ribozyme from 1 species